rnacentral:rRNA from 1 species
UUUGGACCUGAUAUCAA